rnacentral:rRNA from 1 species
AGAGUUUGAUCAUGGCUCAGAGCGAACGUUAGCGGCGCGCCUAACACAUGCAAGUCGCACGAGAAAGGGCUUCGGCCCCGGUAAAGUGGCGCACGGGUGAGUAACACGUGGGUAAUCUCCCCUCUGGCGGAGGACAACGUUCCGAAAGGGACGCUAAUACUGCAUAAGACCACGUUCACUUCGGUGGACGAGGGAAAAGCUGGCCUCUUCAUGAAAGCUAGCACCAGAGAAUGAGCCUGCGUCCCAUCAGCUUGUUGGUGAGGUAACGGCUCACCAAGGCAAAGACGGGUAGCUGGUCUGAGAGGACGAUCAGCCACACUGGCACUGGAACACGGGCCAGACUCCUACGGGAGGCAGCAGUGGGGAAUCUUGGUCAAUGGGCGCAAGCCUGAACCAGCGACGCCGCGUGAGUGAUGAAGGCCUUCGGGUUGUAAAGCUCUGUGGGGAGGGACGAACACGUUCUAGGCAAAUAGGCUAGGACCUUGACGGUACCUCCUAGCAAG